GAUAGAACAACAUUAGGCCCUGCUCCCUGGGCUUCCCCCCUCGGAUGUUACCGUCUGAUGGGGGGGAGAAGAAUGACGCUCUGUGCAAACCCCUGCAUGAAACCAUUCAUAGCACCUCGGCCCCAGCCUCGCUGGGAGAGAGCCGGCAGCAACUGGCCUACAGUGGGUAGAACAGAACCGGUACUGAUGCGGUCCCUGCCGUCCCAAACACCACACAACACCAUUAUUGAUCUACGCUCGCUGGACAGGACGGUCCCGCCGAGAGAAUGCGGCUACUGAUUCAGCGGGAUCCCCCGCUUGCCCGCGCGGACAACGCCACCUCUGAUUCGAAAACCUGGAGCCGGGACGUUUGCAGAAGUCAGUCGGACUCAGGGUUGGCUAGGUCUACAGCUGCACAGGGCAAAUCCAGACGAUCCAUAAUGAUCAACAAACCGGUGUAACCUCCCUGCUGUCCGUGCGUCUGUCCUUUGUGCCGGCCCGAACAGCAGGUAAGGAAAACCUGGCGUUGGCGGAGACAUUGAAGUGGUGUGCGUCCCUGCUGAUAUGAUCUGACAAGGUGACAUAAAGAUCCUCUAUACGUGGAAGCAGUAUAGAGGGCCUGGAUAGUCCUGUCCUUUGUCACAUGAAUCAUCCUUUCCUUCUCCCC
ensembl:lncRNA